rnacentral:rRNA from 1 species
GUUUCCCAGUACGGCGACGAAGUGGCAACAGCCCAGAUUUGAAAUCUGGCGGGGGUCCGAGUUGUAAUCUGCAGAUGGUGUUUCCGGGGGCGCGCGUGCCGAGUUACCUGGAACGGUUCGCCACAGAGGGUGAGAGCCCCGUACGGCGGCGCGGCCUCCCCCAGCGAAGCCCAUUCGGAGAGUCGAGCAGUUUGGGAAUGCUGCUCUAAAGGGAGGUAAAUCCCUUCCAAGGCUAAAUACCUGCCGGAGACCGAUAGCGCAGAAGUAGCGCGAGCGAAAGGUGAAUAGAACUCUGAAAAGAGAGUUAAAGCAUGUGAAAUCGUUGAAGGGGAAGCGGUUUCGACCAGACUCGCGCCGGUCGGUCACCCAGCGGUCACGCUGGGCUACUCUGCCGGCGCGGGCCAGCAUCGGCUGGCGGCGGGGGUAAAGGCCCGGGGAACGUGGCUCUUCGGAGUGUUAUAGCCCCGGGCGCAAUGCCCCGUUGCCGGCCGAGGAUCCAGCGCCCGCAAGGAUGCUGGCGUAAUGGUCGACUCCGACCCGUCUUGAAACACGGACCAAGGAGUUGACUCGCGUGCGAGUGUAAGGGUGCCGAACCCUGACGCGCAAUGAAAGUGAACGCAGGUGGGACCCUCGCGGCACCACCGACCGACCCUGAGGUCUCGACGGGUUCAGUACAGCACGCCGGGUCUGACCGAAAGAAGGUGAACUAUGCCUGGAUAGGUGAGCCAGAGGAACUCUGUGGAGGCUCCACGGUUUUACUGCAAUCGAUCUCAAUCUGGCAUGGGGGCGNAAAACCAAUCGAACCUUC